rnacentral:tRNA from 1 species
GGCGAGGUGCCGGAGCGGUUGAACGGGCCGCACUCGAAAUGCGGUAAACCCCACAAGGGUUUCGUGAGUUCGAAUCUCACCCUCGCCG